ACAUUUUUUUUCGGUUUUCGUUAAUUGUUUGAGAUUUUGACUUCAUUCGGUUGAUUGUUUAAUUUUAUAUUCGUUUGAUUGUUUUACUGUUUCUGAUUUGUUCCUUUUUGUUGAGUUAUUUCUGUUUCCAUCAUUAGGGUGUUUAAUAUUCGUUUGUUGUCAAUGGCUUGGAAAUGUUCUGGAAGGGACAAUAUUAAUUUGAUUGAGAAUUUAAAGAGAAAUGGAAUCAUUACUUGUGAUCGAGUUGAAAGGUCAAUGUUAGCGGUUGAUCGGUCCAAUUAUUGUCAAUCUAAUCAUUUCACUGAUGCUCCACAAAAGAUUGGAUUUGCUGUUACCAUUUCAGCUCCUCAUAUGCAUGCUUAUGCUUUAGAGUAUUUUAAAGAUCAUUUGGUUGAAGGUGCAACUGCUCUCGAUGUUGGUUCUGGUUCGGGUUAUUUAACUGCUUGUAUGGCUCAUAUGGUUGGUCCAACUGGUAAAGUCUAUGGAAUUGAUCAUAUUCCUGAACUAGUUGAACAAUCAAAGGUCAAUAUUGAGAAAGAUUCACCUGAUUUACUUUCAUCUGGUAGAGUUACAUUAAUUGUUGGUGAUGGUCGUAAAGGUCAUCAACCAGGAAGUCCAUAUGAUGCUAUCCAUGUUGGUGCAGCAGCUCCAGUUCUACCUGAAGAUCUUGUUAAUCAAUUGAAACCCGGUGGAAGAUUAAUCAUACCUGUUGGUCCAGAGAAAGAAGGACAAAAAUUAGAACAAAUUGAUAAAUUACUCGAUGGAAGUGUCAAACGAACUACAGUUAUGAAUGUCAUUUAUGUCCCAUUAACUGAUCGAGAAGCUCAAUGGCCAACAAAGAAAUGAAUGUUGCUAAAAGAAAACAAUUUUAAACAUAAAUUUUGGCGACAAUAAACUACUCAGUCAAUGGAAUCCAAUUGGAAGGAUUGUAUCGAUUAAUCAAAUAUUGAAUGACUUGAUUAUCGUUAAAUCGGCCUCGAGUCCAACAAUUGGAACAUUGAGUUUGUAAAGGAAAUUGGACUUUUGGAAAGAACGGAUCUUGAGUUGGAUCGCCGGCGA